GCUGGCGGCGUGCCUAACACAUGCAAGUCGAACGAGAAGCUAACCUCUGAUUCCUUCGGGAUGAUGAGGUUGGCAGAAAGUGGCGAACGGGUGAGUAACGCGUGGGUAAUCUACCCUGUUUAGUGGGGGAUAACCCUCCGAAAGGAGGGCUAAUACCGCAUAAGGUCUUCACUUCUUAAGAAGUGAAGAUUAAAGAUGGCCUCUAUACUAUGCUAUCGCUUCAGGAUGAGCCUGCGUCCUAUUAGUUAGUUGGUGGGGUAAUGGCCUACCAAGACCACAAUGGGUAGCCGGUCUGAGAGGAUGUACGGCCACACUGGGACUGAGAUACGGCCCAGACUCCUACGGGAGGCAGCAGCAAGGAAUAUUGUGCAAUGGGCGAAAGCCUGACACAGCGACGCCGCGUGAGGGAAGAAGGCCUUCGGGUUGUAAACCUCUUUUCUCAGGGAAGAAUAAUGACGGUACCUGGGGAAUAAGUCACGGCUAACUACGUGCCAGCAGCCGCGGUAAUACGUAGGUGGCAAGCGUUAUCCGGAUUUACUGGGUGUAAAGAGGGCGCGGGCGGCUUUUCAAGUCGAAUAUAAAAUCUCCCGGCUUAACUGGGAGGGAUUAUUCGAUACUGUUGGGCUAGAGAGCAGCAGAGGGAGGUGGAAUUCCCGGUGUAGUGGUGAAAUGCGUAGAUAUCGGGAGGAACACCAGUGGCGAAGGCGGCCUCCUGGGCUGUUACUGACGCUGAGGCCCGAAAGCGUGGGGAGCAAACAGGAUUAGAUACCCUGGUAGUCCACGCUAUAACUAUGGACACUAGGUAUAGGGAGUAUCGACCCUCUCUGUGCCGAAGCUAACGCUUUAAGUGUCCCACCUGNNACUACGGCCGCAAGGCUAAAACUCAAAGGNNUGA
rnacentral:rRNA from 1 species